UACGGGGGGAGCAAGCGUUGUUCGGAUUUACUGGGCGUAAAGGGCGCGUAGGCGGCCUCUGCAAGUCGACUGUGAAAUCUUCGGGCUUAACCCGGAACGGUCAGCCGAUACUGCAGGGCUAGAGUGCAGAAGGGGCAACUGGAAUUCUCGGUGUAGCGGUGAAAUGCGUAGAUAUCGAGAGGAACACCUGCGGCGAAGGCGGGUUGCUGGGCUGACACUGACGCUGACAGCGCGAAAGCUAGGGGAGCGAACGGG
rnacentral:rRNA from 1 species